rnacentral:rRNA from 1 species
GAUGAACGCUGGCGGCGUGCCUAAUACAUGCAAGUCGAGCGAACAGACGAGGAGCUUGCUCCUCUGACGUUAGCGGCGGACGGGUGAGUAACACGUGGAUAACCUACCUAUAAGACUGGGAUAACUUCGGGAAACCGGAGCUAAUACCGGAUAACAUGCUGCACCGCAUGGUUCAACAGUGAAAGACGGUUUUGCUGUCACUUAUAGAUGGAUCCGAGCCUGAUUAGCUAGUUGGUAGGGUAACGGCUUACCAAGGCAACGAUGCGUAGCCGGCAUGAGAGGGUGACCGGACACAUUGGGACUGAGAUACGGACCAGACUGGUACGGGAGGAAGCAGUGGGGAAUAUUGAACAAUGGGAGGAAGAAUGAUGCAGCAACGAAGUGUGCGGGAUGACGGCAGUAGGGUUGUAAACCGCUUUCGCCUGUGACGAAGCGUGAGUGACGGUAAUGGGUAAAGAAGCACCGGCUAACUACGUG